rnacentral:lncRNA from 1 species
CCGUCCACACGGUCAUCGCUCCAUCCCUCCAUCCCCUCCGUCCUCGCUAUAUUUAGUCCACGCAAUCACCACACCAGCCACCGCCUAGACAUCCUCGCUGCCUCCCUGCCAAAAAUCCCCAAAUCCUCCUCUUCUCGCCACCGCCGCCGCGCUGUCUUCCUCCCGCCACGCCGCAGCGCCGCCUUCCUCCCGCGACGCCCGGCCGGCGCCGUCUUCGUCCCGCGGCACCCGCUCGGUGACUGUGGCGGCUACGAAGCACGGCGCCACCACCACUAUCCCGAUCUGCCUCUCUGUCCCCUUACCCAAGUUCUCAAGUUCAAGGCUUGUAGGUUCCAGCUGCAUGGCAAUUGCUCUUUGGUGUUCCUCUACCUGUUAUUUCCUGGUAUUAUUUCAGUUAUUUUAGUAGUUCCUUGGGAAUUCUUAUUUGUUGUCUAAUCUUUAUCUCCGUAUACAUGAUCAUCAUUUAAUUGUACUGGUAAACAUCAGUCCCUACUCUAUUUUUUAUUGCACCAAGUAGUAUGCAUAAACUGUUAUUCAGUUAAACUAUAGCAUAUAUUUUUGUAUGUGUCUAUGUAUAUAUAUAUAUUUGGCAGUUUCUCACUAGCCAUUUUCGUUCUCUGGGAUUGCAAAGAGCACAAUAAGAGGCAAGCAUUGGACCUUAACUAAC